rnacentral:tRNA from 1 species
GCACCGUUGGUGUAGUCCGGCCAAUCAUCUUGGCCUUUCGGCAAGCUUGCGGCGACGAUGCCCGCAUCUUGGAAGACAGCCGAGGACCAGGGUUCAAAUCCCUGACGGUGCA